AGACGGUACUCUCAACGGUCCACUAUAAUCGAUCAAGUGUUUACAAUAAUGAGUUUGUUCCUUCACCGUUAAACUCACGUAUCUCUCUUCUUUCCUUUGUUUCAGGUACCACAAAGAAGAAAGACCAGAAACUAAUUCACCUUAGUUUCAACCACAGAUGCCUUAACCCAGAAGAUGAAGACGAAAGCCUGAAAACCCUUAACCGUGUAUCUCUGUUUCUCUUCUCCUUCUCUCGUUAAUUAUCUCUGCCUCUCAUUCACGUUUAANNNNNNNNNNNNNNNNNNNNNNNNNNNNNNNNNNNNNNNNNNNNNNNNNNNNNNNNNNNNNNNNNNNNNNNNNNNNNNNNNNNNNNNNNNNNNNNNNNNNUUUGGUUGUUUAGCCACCUGAGACUAUAAGGCUGCGGGUGCUUGUGCGUCUCCAGGCCAAGUUUUUCCACCAUUGUAGUGCUUGCCACGUUCGUACAGCUGCCUCCAUCGAUGAUCAGGCUGCAGACCUUACCCUUUACCAGGCACCGGGUAUGAAAUAGGUUCUCUCGCUGAUCUUCUUCUAUUAUGGGUUCCUGAGCUAGUAGGACUCUCCGGGCAACGAGCAAUUCUCCUUCUGCUGCUCGUUCCUCAUCGUCUUCAUCGUCGUAAAUCGGUCCAGUACCCUCUCCGUCGGACACGAUUUCACCUGAGUCAAGAAGCAACAUGGUUCGUUGGUUCGGACAUUUAUUAGCAUAAUGGCCUUUACCUCGACACUUAAAACAUUCAAUGUCGCGGUGUCUAGCCGGUGUAGCCUCGGCUUUUCCUUUGAAGUCGGGUGCAGAAGAGCUGGGUUUGGAAUCCGUCCUGGGCUUAGCGUCAGAUCGAGAUGGGAAGCUCGGCUUAUCUGUAGGUCGCGAGCUGGAACCAUAGGCGGGUCGGGUGGUGCCUUUGCGUUUCAGCUGUUGUUCCACUAGGACCGCCUUGUGGUACAUCUCUCCAAUGUCCCGAUAGUCCUGUAGCUCCAUACGGUCUUGUAUAUCACGGUUGAGGCCACUCAAGAACCGGGCCAUGGUCGCAUCCUCCGGUUCUACCGUAUCAGCUUUCAGCAUUAGCCGAUCCAUUUCUUGGUAAUACUCCUCGACAUUCUUGGAUCCCUGGGUCAAGCGUCUGAGUCGAGUGUGCAACUCCCGAUGGUAGUGGCUCGGUACGAAUCUGCGUCUCAUCAUCCGUGCCAUCUCGUCCCAAGUUUCGACCGGUCGGUCGCCGUUCCUUCUCCGGUUGGUAACAACUUGGUCCCACCAAUCUACCGCGUACCCAUGGAACUCGGUGGCAGCCAGGUUGAUCUUCUUUCGUUCUGAGAAGUUCUGACAACCAAACAAAAUGUCGAUCUUCUUUUCCCACUCAAGGAACGCAUCUGGAUCGGUUGUUCCAUAAAAAGAUGGAACCCUCAGCUUCAUGCCUCCAAGGUCAUUGUCGUUUCGGGCUUGGACUGGUUCAGGUUCGUAUUGUUCCCGCCCUUGAUGGUUACGGUCUUGUCGAACCUCCUCCCGGUUAUGGUCGCGGUUUGGAUCUGGGUUGUAUCGCUCACGACCGUAGUUCGGUACGGGAUUUUGUCCACGUCUAUCUUCUCGGCCGCGCCUGGGUCGUACCCGACUACCUCCCGAGGUAUGACCGUCAGCGUAGAAUGGGUGGUCUCCGACAUACUCAUUUCGGUUAUGAUUUCUUUCUCUCCGGGUUGGGUCCUCCUGGUUACUGCGAUCAGCUCCUCUGUCCCGUCUAGGCUGAUCCACUUCCAAUCGUUCCAUACGCUGGUUCAUGUGGUCCAGCAACUGAGUAAUCUGGUCCAGCCUAUGGUUCAUAGUGACUUUUCUUACUUCCUUUGACCGAAUAGAGGAUGGAUCUUCGCUAGAAGACAUAUAGUACCUCGCAAAACAAACAAACAAGUUAGAAAAAUUCUCACUAAGUGUUUCACUCGGUGUUUCACUCAACCCUCUUAAUGAUCUCACAAACACUCAAGAGAAUCUCCUCGGUUCUAAGAGAACUAAAUCAAAACUUGAUGUAGAACUCUAAACCAAUUCGGAAUAACAAGCGAUUAUGAAGAAAAGAGAAGAUAGAGAGAAAAGAUUUUUUUUUUUUUUUUUUUUGAUUUCCACAGAUCCUUCCUUUUUUUUUUUUCUUUUAAAUAGAUCUGGAAUUACAAAAGAAAGAAAGGAUAAGAUGGAAUUUGAAAAAAAAAAUAAGAUGGAAUUUGAAAAAAAAAAAACACAAAGAUAGAUAGUACCGCUUUCUUCAAGUGUGUGGCUCUGAUACCACUUGAUACGAAUUCCCAAAGAACGGCACACACUUGGUCGGUAUCAGAUGGAUAGAUCCUUGACUCCAAACGGAUCCACGGAGAAGAUGCUAAGGGGUGGGUCGGAACCCGAAGAUCCUUAGGCCCAAACUCACAGUGAAAGGCUUGAAACAAGGGGAUGACUAAGCUGGCUGAUUGGAUCCGCGGAAAAAGGAUGUUAAGGCGUGAGAACUAGGUUCCCGAAAAUCCCUAAGCCCCUUUAACUACUUGAACGUUCCAACGAGACAACUGGGUGAAGGCUGCGUCAAGUUCUAUGGAUUGAACUUGAUAAACCGAAAAGAUUCAAGAGGCUAACCACCUAAGGAAUCGAAAAAGUUCUAGAAGAACAAAGGAGAAAACUCAGAUUUUAUUUGAUGAGUGAAUGAAUCAAAAUGAGAAGGGGAGCAAGCCUUUAUAUAGCAGGCGAAGUAGCUCAAGAGACAAACUCGAAAAUGACAGAAAAAUUAAUAAAGUCUUGACCGAAAUAAAUGAACUAAAGACUGACUCUUCGGCUGGCCUUUGACUGACUCUUGAGUUGCCAAGCCGAAAAUGACUCUUGCUAUUCCGACCCAUGAACCAGACCAUAAACCAAUCCUAGGUCGAGAGAUGGGCAAUGGACUUAACCUCGUUAAAACCCCACCCGGUAAACCCAUUGGGACAAACCCGGGUGUAAGGAAAAAGAGUAUUAAAUCAUCACCCGGACCAGAUUAGUUACAACAGCCGUCGUUCAUGAGCACGGUCACGAUCUUGGGUGAUGCCGGGUCGCCUGGUCCAAUCGUGAUCCCAUUAAGUACAGCCUGGACCGUUCCUGCCAGCUUCUUAGCUCUGGAUCGCGUCAUAGGUCCAUCCGGUACGGACAAUUGUGCUUCCGGAACCUCGAUUCCACUGUUUGGGUCAUCCUUUGGGUCCAUGAUCGUAUCACGAUGUAGGGCAGAAAUUUGAAUGAUGCGUCGCCAGCACAAAGGCCUUGCGAUCCGUCGAGUUAUCAUCAGUUCGUAGACACUUUAUCUUCUUACUCUUCUGAUUUUCCACCAGUGCUUUCCACUCUGAAAAGUUUUCAAGCACUUCGUCCUUACUCCUUAGGAAUCUGAUCCAAACCUUCCUUGAGUAAUCAUCAAUGAAAGUAAGAAAGUAUCUGCACCCUGUCAUGCUUGGCUCGUUUGACACUGAGCCCCAAAGAUCACUGUGAAUGUAUUCCAAAAUACCCGUAGUAGUGUGUUUGCCAGCUGGAAAACUCUGCUUGUGAGACUUACCAAACACACACUUUUCACAGAAAUCUAAAGUGUGGACUUCCUUUGAGUCUAGAUAACCUCCUUUGACCAGAAGAUUCAUGUUCUUAAGACUCAUAUGUCCUAGCCUUGAAUGCCAUCUGUUCGUUAGAUUUACCUCCGUCCUGACCACAGAUGCUUCUCCUCUCACAACUGUUCCCUGCAAAUAGUACAGCCCGUUCUCAUAUUUUCCUGAAAUCACUUUCUGGUCCUUCUUGUAGAAAGUAACUAUGAAGUCCUUCCCUUCAUACUUGCACCCGUUCUUCUCUAGCUGGCCAUAAGAGAUGAGAUUUUUGCUCAUGGUUGGCAUGUAUCUCACAUCAGUUAAUAUCACGGUAGCUCCUUCUGAGUUUAUGAUCUUGAUUUUCCCAAUGCCUUUGACUUCGCUGUGAGUGUUGUUACCCAUCAUCACCUUUCCGCCAUCAACCUCUUUGAAGUCAUACAAGACAUCUCUAUCAGGUGUAAUGUGGAAAGUACACCCAGAAUCCAUGACCCAUUCAUCCAUAGUGUCUUGGACGCUUGCUGUUAAGAUCAUAGGUUCCUCUCUUUCAUGUACUACAUUUGCAGAAUCUUGUUUCCCAUUCUUUCUUUCAGGGCACUCUUUCUUGUAGUGUCCUUCUUUCCCACAUAUCCAACAUUCUCUAGCUUUUGGUUGAUUCUUUGGUCUAGACUUCGACCUUGAAUCUCUGCUCUUGGAUCUACCUUUACUCUGACCUGUAGUCCUCUUUUCAGACCUCCCUCUACUUGCAACCAAAGCAUCUGCACUUGACUUUGAUUUUCCUAGAAGCCCACUCUCUUUUAGCUCGAUUUCCUUGGCAUAUGCUGAAGCGGUAACUUCAUUCAUAGUAAGUGUCUCUUUCCCGUUGCCGUAUUUGAGAGUAGGAACUAGUGAAUCAAACUGCUUAGGUAAGCUAGACAACACCUGAAUUGCCUGAUCUUCAUCACUUAUAGUUAUACUCAAGCUCUCCAAAUCGUCCACCAGUCUAAGAAACACGUCAAGAUUCUCCUCUAUGCUUUUGUGCUCUUCCAUCUUAAAACUGGCAAAUCUCUGCUUCAGAUAAAUGCGAUUUGGUAAGGUCUUUGUCUGGUAAUCCUUUUCUAGAGCUUUCCACACACCUAGAGCUGUUGUUUGCUUCAUAACCUUCCGCAAGACCAGAUUACUAAGGCUGGAACAUAUCAAGUUCUUUGCCUUUUUGUCUAUCUCCUUCUUCUUUGGACCAACCGGAGAUGGAGUUGCCUUAGCAUCUGUCUCAUCUUCUUUUCCUUUUCCUUUGUCAGAUGCUGCGCUAGUUUCUUCCUCACUAAUUGCAGAAUCUAACCCUAGAUUUUCAAGAGCCAUAAGCAUCUUGAAUUUCCACAUACCAAAGUCUCCUUUACCAUCAAACUUCUCCACCUUAAUUUUACCAAAAGAUGGUUCCAUGAUUCAGACUUUGUAGAUGUUAUCACUUGAUUGAAUAACUUGGACUUUCCCGAAACAACACCAAUCGCAGAUCAGAAACUGAAACCGUAUCCUCCGCUUAAACCUGGUGCUCUGAUACCACUUGUGAGGUUUUAAUAUCGAUUUCAACCUCUAGUCUUAGCUCUUAACCUGAACUACUUAGAUCAAUUAACCUUGAUACUUAGUUUUUUUGUUGUUUUCAAGCAAGACACAAGAAAAUUUGGUAACCCAGUUCCCUUUCGGUACAUCUGGGGAGAGACGGUACUCUCAACGGUCCACUAUAAUCGAUCAAGUGUUUACAAUAAUGAGUUUGUUCCUUCACCGUUAAACUCACGUAUCUCUCUUCUUUCCUUUGUUUCAGGUUCCACAAAGAAGAAAGACCAGAAACUAAUUCACCUUAGUUUCAACCACAGAUGCCUUAACCCAGAAGAUGAAGACGAAAGCCUGAAAACCCUUAACCGUGUAUCUCUGUUUCUCUUCUCCUUCUCUCGUUAAUUAUCUAUGCCUCUCAUUCACGUUUAAAACCCUUGUUCCUCCUUAUAUACCAAGUAGAAGACUUUAAUUCUUGUACGUGAUUCUUUUCUUAUGGGCUUGAGCCCAACACUUAUGUAAACACGUAAGAAGACUUUGGCCCAUGUGAUAAUAGAGACUAUCUGCUCACAUGGAGAAUAAUCCGUGGCAUACUUCAGUGAGAAACUCAGUGGAGCUUCACUCAAUUUUCCUACAUAUGAUACGGAGCUCUAUGAUUUGUUAAGAUUUCUAGAAUUUCAUCUCUUUAUAUCUGUUGAGAGUGACUAGUCCAACAACAGUAUCACCAUCCAUCACCCCCUUUAGGUUCCAUCUCGUUUUGAUGCCUAUAUCAAAUUUGUGGAAUGAUUGUACCACACCGAUUUAGGUUAAAGAACCUGCAGUUAACCGUGUUGAAUUUCAGUUGAUACGAAUAUAAAACUAUCAACAGGUGGCGACACCAAGCUACCAAUAUGCAAUGACUAGAUGCCAAGAAGAUUUCUUAAAGGCGAGCUGGGUUUUCGUAAAUUGUUCAAGUAUAUUGUAGAACCAGAAGCUAUGUAAUACUUGUUGCAAGUUGUAAUCCAUAUCAAACUAAAAAAAUAGUAAGACCCAGCAUCUACAGACUAGAAACUCUGGCUAAAUUCCUCAUGAAAAUCCUAUGGAAUACUAUGUAUUUGAAAAGAUUUUAUUAAGAUAUAAUUUGUAAAGUACAAUUGAUCUGAUCCUUUUUUUGGUUAUAUAGCUAGCUCUGGAGGUCAAGUGCAUCCAAGAGUUCCAAUCUGUUCAUAACAAGACGAGACAGCUCGUAUGUACUAUCAAGACGAGGGUAAUCCCAUGAAACUUUAAGAAAACCCAGUUCCCAAUAUCAAAUAUGAAGGUAAUCUUACAAAACCAUAAGACAUAUUAGGACAGGCCAUAUGAUACCAACUUUUCCCAAAAUCGUUGUCUGAG
rnacentral:lncRNA from 1 species